rnacentral:tRNA from 1 species
GCUGUAGCUCAGUAGGAUAGAGCGUCCGCCUCCUAAGCGGAAGGCCGCUGGUUCGACUCCAGUCAG